UACAGAGGUCCCAAGCGUUGUUCGGAUUCACUGGGCGUAAAGGGUGCGUAGGUGGCCAGGUAAGUUUGGUGUGAAAGCUCGGAGCUUAACUCCGAAAAGUCAUUGAAUACUAUCUGGCUGGAGGGUCGGAGGGGGAGACUGGAAUUCUCGGUGUAGCAGUGAAAUGCGCAGAUAUCAAGGAGGAACACCGGUGGCGAAAGGCGGGGUCUCUGGGGCAACAACUGACGCUGAGGAGCGAAAGCGUGGGGGAGCGAACAGG
rnacentral:rRNA from 1 species